rnacentral:misc_RNA from 1 species
CGCACAUUGCGCCCGCCAGUACUCUGGCGGGCAUGCCUGUUCGAGCGUCAUUUCAACCCUCAAGCCCUCCGGGGCUUGGUGUUGGGGCUCGGCCCGCCCCUCGCGGCGCGCCGUCCCCGAAAUCUAGUGGCGGUCUCGCUGCAGCCUCCCCUGCGUAGUAGCUAACACCUCGCAACGGGAACUGAGCGCGGCCACGCCGUUAAACCCCCAACUUCUAAAAGGUUGACCUCGGAUCAGGUAGGGAUACCCGCUGAACUUAA